GAUGAACGCUAGCGGCAGGCUUAAUACAUGCAAGUCGAGGGGCAGCAUGAGUGUAGCAAUACAUUUGAUGGCGACCGGCAAACGGGUGCGGAACACGUACACAACCUUCCUAUAAGUGGGGAAUAGCCCAGAGAAAUUUGGAUUAAUACCCCGUAACAUAAUGAUGUGGCAUCACAUUAUUAUUAUAGCUACGGCGCUUAUUGAUGGGUGUGCGGCUGAUUAGAUAGUUGGCGGGGUAACGGCCCACCAAGUCUACGAUCAGUAGCUGAUGUGAGAGCAUGAUCAGCCACACGGGCACUGAGACACGGGCCCGACUCCUACGGGAGGCAGCAGUAAGGAAUAUUGGUCAAUGGACGCAAGUUUGAACCAGCCAUGCCGCGUGAAGGAUUAAGGUCCUCUGGAUUGUAAACUUCUUUUAUCUGGGACGAAAAAAGGCGAUUCUUCGUCACUUGACGGUACCAGAUGAAUAAGCACCGGCUAACUCCGUGCCAGCCGCCGCGGUAAUAC
rnacentral:rRNA from 1 species